GAUGAACGCUGGCGGCGUGCCUAAUACAUGCAAGUCGAACGAAACUUCUUUAUCACCUAGUGCUUGCACUCACCGAUAAAGAGUUGAGUGGCGAACGGGUGAGUAAUACGUUGGCAACCUGCCCAAAAGAGGGGGAUAACACUUGGAAACAGGUUCUAAUACCGCAUAACCAUAGUUACUGCAUGGUAACUAUGUAAAAGGUGGCUAUACUACCGCUUUUGGAUGGGCCCGCGGCGCAUUAGCUAGUUGGUAGGGUAAAGGCUUACCAAGGCAAUGAUGCGUAGCCGAAUUGAGGGGGUGAUCGGCCAGAUUGGGACUGAGACACGGCACACACUCUUACGGGAGGCAGCAGUAGGGAAUCUUACACGAUGGGCGAAAACCUGAUGGAGCAACGCCGCGUGGGUGCAGAAGGUCUUCGGAUCGUAAAACCCUGUUGUUAGAGAAGAAAGAGAGUGAGAGUAACUGUUAACGUUUCGACGGUACCUAAACAGAAAGCCACGGCUAACUACGUG
rnacentral:rRNA from 1 species